CCCCUGAUCCCACCAUCCCCCUCCCCCCCAUGAAGCUGCCAACCCUUUUGAUCCACUCACCUCUUUCCCCACCCUGAUUCACCAGUCCCAGGAGCCCAACUGAAGUAAAUGCCAGUAAAAUGGGGUCUGGGAGUGGUUUCCAGAAUUAGGACUGGUUCUGUGGGGGAGGCGGGGGUGUUUGGCAGAAUCAGAGAGCCUCUCUCAUCCUGCCAACCCCCACUGAACCUCUGCCCCUGCAGACCCAACUAGCCCUCCCCAAUCCUGCCAAACCCUCCCGGCCCCUGCCACGCACCCUGCAGACCCUGCUAGUCCUCCCACCCCCCUCCUCUGAUGUUCCUGGGAUCAUUUUAACCUGAUCUAACCCCUCAAACUUCUAGUUGAAAUGUCUAUAUAAGCCAAAGUCUGUUUAUCUUUGGGAAAUAUUGAAAACUUCCUUUUGAGAGAGCCUUUCCCCCAGAAGUGCUACUCCUAGUGCAAACAUCCAUAUUUCCUUUAUUUCCCAGCCCUCCACCAGUCCUGACCACCCCCUCCCCAGAAAAAGACCACUCAGCAGAAGACCUAGCACAGGCACAAUUUUGACACUGAGAACAGAGAAAGGCUGUAAGUUUUGUGAAGCUUGUAAUAGAGUUUGCUAUUGCUGGCAAUUUAGAUGGAAAGUCCUCAGAGACUUCAGUAAUAAGCAGCAGCUUGAAACACUAACCUAGAAUAUUCACAUAACACAAUCAUCUGAUAUAUCCAAACAACAUACAAAAUGAAAGAAAGGUGAAGUUGUUGUGCAAUAGAAGAUGAAUAACUAAGUAUUACAAUAUUAGAGUGUACUUUGGAUAGGGUGUAUUCACAGCAUGUGAAGCAAGCAGGAGUAUAAUUACUGCUGCUUUGCACUGUAUGUGUAAGUCUUUUCAUUCAAAUAUUGCAAAGCACUUUCCUAAAGGGGCUAUGCAUUUUAGACCUCCCUUUGCAGUUGAGAAAAAUGGAAGCAGAGAGAGAUGGAUAUACCCAAGAUGUGAUCAUCUGCUAGUGGUAGAACCCAGAUCUCCUACCUGGUUUCUGCUGUCCACUAACACGUAACACUUCAUAAAGAAGAAGGUCCAGAACUGUUGUUAUACAUUGGCGAUCUGUUGUUAUACAUUGGCAAUUACAACCUUGUGAGAUGAGAUGAGUUAAUAGAAGAAUAUUAAUAUAAUUGAUACAAUUUAUAUCACAGUCCUAGAAAAGAAAGAAAAGGUGCCAUGGUAGCAAUAUAACAUGUUUCCAAAACCCUUAGUGCCAAUGGAAAAAAAAGAGUGGACAGUUAAAUGUUUAGCAGUAACUUUGUAUCUUACUUUGUGUAAUGUAAGAAAUUAAAACUAAAGAGCCGAACCCAGUAGGUGUCUGUUAGUGCCUCACGCCACUGACAUAGAUCAUCCCCGUAGUCUAUCUUCCCUCCCUUUCUGUCUUAUCUUUCAUAUUCUUUCCCUUUGUGCACAAUUUUCCUUUUAUUCUAUUAUACCACAUAUGGGACAAGAAGAGAGGGAAGGGGGAGGAAGAAGGAACCAUUCUGCGUUCCACGAGAGUGUUAAUUUAACACCUGAUGGGUAAUUCACAAUUUCACAUGUAGCAGGCUUACCUUUCAGAGCUUGGGUUGAAUCCCAGGCUUGAGAUCCUGCUGUUUUGAUUGGUGGAGCCCAUCCACCAAUCAGGAGGCAGCAAGAGAAAUAACAUCACGCCCCUUUUCUGAGGGGAGGGGGAAAAGAGCUCUCCCAGACCUGAUUGAAGACUGGAAACUGUCAGGUCCAGAAGACUUCAGGGGUGGAGCCCUGGAGCAUAUAAAAGGAGCUGCAUGCCCAGCACAAGGACAGAUGCCUCGGGGACUGAGAAGAGAGAAGAGUGGGGUUUAGAAGAGCUGAGGAGAGCUGCUCAGCAGGGCAAAGCAGUAGCCCAGGAAGAGCCCCUGAAGUCUUCUAUGUGCGGGGAGCGGGGGACGGCUCCAGCGGUUAGAUUCUCGGUGCACAGUAUGACGCAUAGCGUCUAGACCCUGGGAGCUGCGUGAGGCGGCUCGGGUCUGGAACCUCUGGUGUACAGACAGAGACACAGUGCACAGGCUGGUGCAAGGAGCAGGAUCUUUGGAGCCCCUGGGGUGGCUCAGGUCCUCAACCCCCAGAACGAGGUUGGGAGCUCGGUGCAGGAGGUGCUGCAUGGAGGCAUAUAUGGGACAAGAAGAAAGAACAGAAUUAAAAAAGGACCAGUUUCCUCAACCUAACUGCUGAAUGACAAAGGAAACUAGCCCAACUGCUCACCCUUUAGGCUGCAUGGCCUUGCACAAGGGGACUUUGGGCUGAAUCAAAUGACUUCUUCUCAUGCUACUGGAAAAAAAUGUGUGUGUGUGGGGGGACUCAGUUGGCUUUCGCUUCAUUAAUGAGCUCAUGUUGUUUUAACCUAAGGCUUUCAGGAAGGGCACAUAUGUUCAAUCCAAUAAAAGUGCUAUGGCUGGUUGUGUCAUAAGAACCAAAGUUGACACUGAAACUUCAGAUUUAACUCCUGGUGCUCUUAAAAAGUUGGCCUAGCAGUUUUAGUCAAGAACUAGAGCCUGGGCUUGAACCAUCAAGGAUUUGAUGUUCUUGGCAUAUGACCCGAGUUCAGUAUAAUUUAUAGGGACAGAGUCAAGGUUAAAAAAAACCUAAAAAAACCCAAACCAAAAUGCAUCUCUGACUGUUCUGACAAGGAUGUUUCUUCAUGCCAGUAGUCCUGGUGGGCUUUGUUACAUUAUGCUUAUCCACUAAGGGCAAGUAUGUCUUGCUUAAUCCUAUUUCUGGGAGCAAUUCUUACCUUCAUUGCCAGUGUCAGAACUUGAUGAGUUCCAAGAUCUCUACUUGACAAGAGAAGUGCAUGCUGCUGUGUUUUAUUGGUCUCACUGCCAGGCCUCACUAAACAGACCUAGAGAAGUCCUGAUGUUGUACCAAACCCCACAACCCCAGAAACUGGCACAGGAAGCCAAACAGGGAAGAACCCACUUUUAUAUAGAAAAUGCUAGGGGUUAGGGUCAUAAGCCAAUGGACUAAGUAGAAAGGAACAGGUGCAGGUAAAUAAACAUUAAUAUGAAGGUGCACACACUUAGGAGUGAGGCAAAAGGUAACAAGCAGUAACACUCUGGUGAAUCCACUCAAGAACAGGUAGCAGGUAGUGAGCACUACCACCGUGGGACAUUCACUCAAAAAACCUUAACCCCUUUCACACCUCCAGCAGUGCUUUAAACCAGGCUCUAGUCUCAAGAGCACUCAAUAGCCAUCUGCACAUGCUUCCACAUCCAAGUCCUGCUGCUAUAGUCUGUACUCCCAGCUCCAUCACUCCUCUGGGAUCUCUGGCCAUGUGUUUACCACUUCCGCAGCAUCCUGUGCUCUGCCGCUGCUUCCUGCUUCUUCUCCCUUUUAUUUCCCUGCCCCAGUGUCUGGGAGUUGUAGUCUAUGUGUACUCAGCACAGUUUUGCAAGAUUGUUCCCUUCGGAGACUCCUGGGAGCUGUAGUCCAAAUCCAGUCAACAGGCGGCUCCCCCGGCUCCUGUAUGUUUACAUUACAGUGCAUUACAUUCAGUUCAAGCAGUAUAUUACAAUGUGUAGCAGGCUUACCUUCUCAGAGCUUGGGUUGAAUCCCAGGAUCAAGGGUCUGCCGUUUGAUUGGUGGAGCCUGCCCACCAAUCCAGAGGCAGCACAAGGGAAGCAAUGCCCCACCCUUUUCUGAAGGGAGGGGGCAAGGAGCAGCUGGACCUGAAUCGGAACUGCACCAGCCAGGUCCGGAGAACUUCAGGGGUGGAGCCCCUGAAGAGUAUAAAAGGGGAGCGUGCAAACCCAGCAGGUGGCAGGGCAGUCGGUGUGCAGAUCAGCACACAGAGAGCUGGCCCUGGGAGCAGCUCACGGCUGCUCAGGCCUCACCUGGUGCUGAGGUCGGGACAUGGCAAACCGCCUUGGAAACAGCUCCUGGCUGCUCACGUUAGCUUCGGGCCUAGGCCGAGUGACUGGAGCCCCGCAGUGUGGCUCCGCUUUUAACUGAAAGAGCCCUGGUGCCCAGAGCAGGACCUGGGAAAGGGGAGAACCCCCAGUUUUAGACUGGGGAGUCAGAGCCUGCAAGAGCUUGGCUCCUGUGAGAGAGAGAGUCCUGGGUGCCCAGUGCAGGGCCCCGGCCAUCGAGAAGAGCUGAAGAUGCCACUGGGGAGAGGCUCUUGCGGGAUCGGCUACCAGGGGACGAGCCUUGCCUUGUCCAGAGAGGAAGUAUGAAUUACUGGGGAAGUGGGCCCUGCAGGGGAGGCUGACACAGGUGAGGAGGGUCUGCUGCCUCCACCCUCCAUUGUGGGAGGGAUGUGUCCACAUCCCAGGGCCCGAGCUGCUGAAUGCACUGCCUAUUUUGAGGUUGUGUUAAGGGCUAUAUAGUAGGGGUAUUUUUUAAGGGGGUUUAUAUGGUUUAUGUGUUUUAAUGUCUCAAUGUGUAUAUUGGUAUUGUUAUUUGUGAAGGUUUAAGGAAAUAUUAUGGUUAAGUUACUAUCCCUAUGUUAAUUGUGUUGUAUAGGUUGUAAGUUAUUUGGUUCAUAUUUGGUACUAUAUGUGAAUUGUGGAAUAUUAUAUAUAGUAUUAUAUGUUAAGCCUUGUAAAUAUUCUAUAUAUUAUAUUAAGUGUCUGUAUUUAUUCUUGUAAUAAAUUGUACAUAGUUAAGUA